rnacentral:rRNA from 1 species
CAGCAGCCGCGGUAAUACGUAGGUGGCAAGCGUUGUCCGGAAUUAUUGGGCGUAAAGGGCUCGCAGGCGGUUUCUUAAGUCUGAUGUGAAAGCCCCCGGCUCAACCGGGGAGGGUCAUUGGAAACCGGGAAACUUGAGUGCAGAAGAGGAGAGUGGAAUUCCACGUGUAGCGGUGAAAUGCGUAGAGAUGUGGAGGAACACCAGUGGCGAAGGCGACUCUAUGGUCUGUAACUGACGCUGAGGAGCGAAAGCGUGGGGAGCGAACAGGAUUAGAUACCCCUGUAGUCCCUGUCUCUUAUAC